rnacentral:rRNA from 1 species
UACGUAGGGUCCGAGCGUUGUCCGGAAUUACUGGGCGUAAAGAGCUCGUAGGUGGUUUGUCGCGUUGUUCGUGAAAACUCACAGCUCAACUGUGGGCGUGCGGGCGAUACGGGCAGACUUGAGUACUGCAGGGGAGACUGGAAUUCCUGGUGUAGCGGUGGAAUGCGCAGAUAUCUGGAGGAACACCGGUGGCGAAGGCGGGUCUCUGGGCAGUAACUGACGCUGAGGAGCGAAAGCGUGGGGAGCGAACAGG